AAAACUUUCAACAACGGAUCUCUUGGCUCUGGCAUCGAUGAAGAACGCAGCGAAAUGCGAUAAGUAAUGUGAAUUGCAGAAUUUAGUGAAUCAUCGAAUCUUUGAACGCACAUUGCGCCCCUUGGUAUUCCGAGGGGCAUGCCUGUUCGAGCGUC
rnacentral:rRNA from 38 species